UGACUCUGCCGCUCCCUUAUCUGGGACACUGAUUGGUAAUAGUACUUGUAGAAAUUUUUUCAGUGUGGCCUUCCACAAGCCCAUCCGCCCCAGAAUCAUCAGAGACCUAGAUAAACACAUAUUCUUGGGCCCUAACUCAGAUUAUUAACCAGUAUCCCAGGUGAUUUUCACGCUCUCUAAAACUGAAGAGUUGCGGGGUUAGUGUGUAGAUUAACAUUAACAACCAAAGCAUUUAAGGUUCUGGUAAACUGAGCCAACUCUGAACCUGACGUUAACGGGGGAAACCGUGAAUUCUAAAGGCAAUGUUGCCAAGGUUUUCGUUGUAAGGAAGGAGGAGGAAUCUCGUUAGGACUGCUCUGGGACCCCAGAGGACCGCAGACUGGUGUGGUAGGACCAGAAAGGGCCCAGGCUUUGAAAGGGCCACGUUAUGGCCUCCCUGCAUUACAAUCAAGAAAUCGUAUCCAAGCAGAGCCACGAGAGCUAAAAUCUUCGUGAGAAAACAGUUUACUAUGUGAGUUUUACCUCCCGAGGAAACUCCCAAGAAUGCUGGAGGUUACUGAGCCAAAGGGAUCAAACUUCCUACUUUCACCUGUAAGAAAUAAGCACGGAAUGAUUUCUUCAGCAGCCAAGGACCGCUUACUGAUCUUUCAGUUGGAUCUGUGUGGCGUUGUUGGCCAUACUAAAAUCAGAUGCUAUCUUUGCUGAGGUUCAUUUAAGCGGAAUUAUCUCAGGGGAAAGUGGGUAAGAGGAAAGAGGAAGAACUCACGUGCUCUCUUUGGAGAUGGGUCAUGCUAGCCCUGCUCCUGACCCCGCUGCCGAUCCCGCCAUCGCUGCAGGCAGAGAGCUAGCCCGCGGUACAGUCUGUCCUGGCUUGCCUCCUUGAGAUGAGCAGCAGUUCACCGGCAUCAUCAAAUUGAGUUGCCCUUUAUCUGCAGAUCUUAGCCUAGAUCUAAGGCCUGAGGAAUUUCUCUCCACUUCUAUUUCCAAAAUUCUGAUUUUUUCCUUUCAUGAUGUAAUAUGACUUACCCCCAGAGUUCUCCCAAAUUAGCCACUAAAUAAAAC
rnacentral:lncRNA from 1 species